UCCGUAGGCGGUGCGGCAAGUCGAUAGUGAAAUCCCUGGGCUUAACUCAGGGGGCUGCUAACGAAACUGCCGUGCUAGAGUGUGAGAGAGGCGAGUGGAAUUACGGGUGUAGCGGUGAAAUGCGUAGAUAUCCGUAGGAACAUCCGAGGCGAAAGCGGCUCGCUGGAUCACAACUGACGCUGAGGGACGAAAGCUAGGGGAGCAAACAGGAUUAGAUACCCUGGUAGUCCUAGCCCUAAACCAUCAGGACUUGGGGUUUGCCCUGUACGGGGCAAGUCCCGUAGCUAACGCGUUAAGUCCUGCGCCUGGGGGAGUACGGUCGCAAGGCUGAA
rnacentral:rRNA from 1 species